GUGAAGCGGAAGACGCCGGGGGCCUGGGGCUGGUCUUUCCCUGACACGAGCUCCAUGGGCUGCCACAUCUGGUAGGACACCCCAAAGCCUCCAUCAACGACAUAGGCUUUGCCAUCGAUGACAACCUUUACCACCAGCUCCAUAAUAUGCUUGAUCAGCACUAGAUCUGGACUGCAGGAGAUGAAAGCCACUGUUCUUUUGAAAUGUGAACAGACCAGAUAAAAAGGCAGGUACUGAAAAGGUUGUCCCACAAAUGUGGUUAUGAUUUAUGUAGAAAAAAACAUCAGCAGAAGAAUAUUAAAGGUGCAAAUGAAGAUGUUCAUACAAAACUAUUCCUUACACAGUAUCAGCAAUUCCACUUUUGAAAAUGUGUUAUCUUCUUUAUCCUAAUACAUCAGCACAUGGACUUCUGAGUUGCACAACCCCGAGUCUGUAAUUUCUUUAAGUUCUUUUUAAAGAGCUGUAAUCUUAUUCCCUUAAAGCAGAGUCUAUUGAUUAUUAUACUGAACUUUUGCUUCCUUUGCACUUGCAAUACUUUUAAAUAAAUUUAAGUAUCUAAAAGCACGACUUCCAACAAGAAGUGCCAGUUCUAAAUUUAUAUCUACUAUUGUACCUAAACAAAAGAAUCUAUUUUAUAGUGAAGUGAAGCUUCUCCUGAAGAGUGAAAGGUAGAAGAAUUGAAAUUGCACAUCGCUGUUUUGCCCUUUAACUGCCCCUGUUUAGCAGGUGAUAUUUUAGCUCUAUAUCCACACAUCUUAGAACAUUUCUCCUAGAGAAUGUUGCUUACAUUAUUGUCCAUGACCUUUACCAUCAUAAAGAAACCAGGGUUUUGGUAUCUUUCUUUGGAGGGUUUUUUUAAGAAAAUAAACUUACCUCUUAUGAGAUCCCUUUUUAUUUAUUGAGGUAUUCAGUUUCUGGGUAGUUUAUUAGAGGGGCAGCAGUCAGUGAAGCCAGACGUGGAUACAGAUUGUGAAGGUUGUCUUUCUAAGCUCUGCUGGCCCUCACUUCUGAAUCUUAAAUUCCAAGAAAGGGCAGAGUCCACCCAAAAAGAGUUCACAUUUUUGGACUUCACUGAUCCGUGAGCAAAUUAAACUUUGUUUCUUCCUAUUAGUAGAUGUUUAUGCCUUCCCCUAGUUAAGACCAGAAUGAACUCCUUCUCUAUGUAAAAUAAUUACAGUAGGCAGUUGCAAAUGGCAUUGUAACUGUUUUAAAUUAAACAUUGUUAUUUUGCAAACCAGCACUUUGCAGUGGAGGAUGUUCAUCUGUGCCCUGAUGGGUACACUGAGGUGCCAGGUGUUGCAGGCUCUGUGUCUCUAAGCUCCAUGGAUGCACAAAUGACCCUUCUUCCACACAGGAACUUUUUCAAACUGUUCAAGUCCUCAGCUGUGGCAGGGAGUUACUGUGGAGCUGCCACACCUAACGAAUGCCAUGGCAAAUAUUUAUUUGCAUGAAGUAAUAAAUUUCUGCUCUAAAAACUGGC